CCACGCCCAGUGCGCGGUUGUCUUUUCACGUAUGGAAUAGCCGGGUUCAAGCUUACCCUGUCCCAUUUUCAGGGCAUAUGGCUAGUUAAGAUAGUCCUUGAUCAACAGGCCUACAUACGCAUCCAAUCCUUAAUUAACCUGGGCGGAGCAUCACCUGUUCCUAGCCCAAGUCCCGAUUUAAGUACUUCCAUCCUUAGGAGUGUUUGUGUUCCUUAGGAUGAAAAGAGCAUUAUAGAGAACUUUACAGUAAGAUUCCACCAUGCUCCCAAUGAAAAUAUUCUUGCAGGUAGAAAUCAUCCUUCCUCAGGAUAAACCUGAGCUAGGCAUAAGUGCAAAGGACAAACUCUAUCUGCUUAUAAGCAGGGCUAAGCAUUUUUUUGUAAAUUAUAUUUUGAUACUUCACCAGAAGUAUCUAUAAAAGGGAUGGAUUUCAAGGUAGCCAAUGCAUCAAAGAGUUUUCAAGCAACUCCUAUAAACCUAAUGCACAUUCACUAGACUUAAAGUAUGUAAAAAUAAUUUAAAAACACAAGGAAGGGGUUGCAUGCACCGGGGCUUGCCUGGGUAACACUAGGUUAGUGUUGUUAGACGAUGUCCACUUGACGAUCCUCUUCAGGUUUGUCCAUUAGCAUCAUCAUGUGGAUUGGCCCAUGCUUGGGGUCGACUUGGGUCGUUCUCCGCAUCACGCGAUUAAUUAACGUACCUGAAUGAAAUGCAUUAUGCACAUGAAUGCAUAUAAACGAGAAUAUUACAAACCUAAAUAGUGCUACGCGAUAGCGAAUUUAACACCUAGCGGUGAGGCGUUGUACAAGUUUGUACGAAAACACUAGUUAUUAAUAUACGACUACGCGCAAUAAUUACGCUUUUCAAACCUAACGCAAACAUCACGAACAACAAAUUAUACACAUGAAAUACAAUUAGCCUAAUCACAACUUAUUAGUUAAUUAAUUAAAUUCUGAAUUAAUCCCUUUCUUUAUAAAUUAUACUACAUCUUUAUAAGUGAAUAAAAUAUUUCAUCAUCACACAUGCUUGCCAAAAUUCUACUCGGUCCACUAAUUCAGCUAAGUGACCGGAAUAGCGAAAUAACUCGCUAUAACUCAAUCUGGCUCGAUAAUCGCAAGAACUGCGAAGUCGAUGAGAGUUUCGUGACUUACGCAAUUUAUCGAGCACCUUAAUGAGCAUCGCACUAGCACUUUAAUUUAUUCAUCGAUCAAACUAUUCUGAAUAAUUUAUCAGCUUACCGUUUCCAGAGCUGACACGAAUCCACGAGAUCGGUAGCGAUUUUCCGAUCCAGGCAAUUUAUCGAGCGCUUAGGGAAUAUCGCGCUGCUAGCUUCGUCUUCACCUGAUUCUUUGGUUUUCUUGCUGACACGCGGAACGACGACGACACGGGAGGGUGAUGUAUAUAGAGCUGCACCCGCGACGCAACGACGCUAACCGGUGGAAUCGACGACGCGAUUAGGAAUUAAAGCCGAGCGAGCCGAGAGGGCGCACCGGCGAGCAGAAAACCAUGCGAGUACAAAACGGGGAAAACGACGGGCUCGACAACACGCGAAACGACGACAAUCGAAUCGGCAACAAAGUGUUGGCGAAUUCGAUGAACAUGACCACAGUCGCGAGCUGACACGAUCAAAAUAACUGUGGUCAACGAGCUUGUGACAGAAGCGAUGAUGGUGCGGGAACUCGACAUGCUUGUGGGAGCAGAUGAAAUUCGUGCGCGCGGCAAACAAGGAAAGAGCGAGCUAUACGUGAGCAGAGAGGUCGACGAGCGGCGCGCGCGCACGGACAACAGCGAAGAGCUCGGCGCGCAGCGAGUUGGAACUGGAGCGCCGCGAUGGGCGAAGUGGAGCACGGCCAGCGCGCGUCUACCAAAGAACUCGCGCGGUACACAGGGAGAACAGGCAGCCACCAGGGAGAUCGUCCAGGCGCGCGCGACGAGCAGAGAGCCUGCCAUGGAAACAGAGGGAGCAGGUCACGACGAGCUGGAGUACCGAGGCCAUGGAACCGAGCAGACAGAGCGCCGUGAGAUGGAGCUGGGCAGUGGAGAGCUCGGCUGGGCGAGCAGGGACGCCGCGAGCAGAGGCAAACAGCCAUGGACGGAGCAGGAAAGAAAGAGCCGCGAGCGCUGAGAGAGAGAAGCAGGGGGGCGCGGCCAUGGGAGUGGCAGGACCGAGCGCCGUCCGAGCUCCGGCCAUGAAGGGAGUUCCGGCCACAGAGGGACGCAGGGAGCGUAGGAAGCUCCAAGCGGAGGAGACGCGCAGGGAAGAAUCGAGCACGGUAGGAUUUUCUUCUCGAGCUGAACGGUGGCUUGGACACGCGCAAAGUGAUAUAGACGCUGAAAAAAUCUGCGCAGGGGCGGCGGCUGAUUUUUUUUCCAGGCUGAGAAGAUGAGAGAUGAGCUCAGCUGAGCAGAGACGUUGUCGUGCUGGAGAUAAGAACCGGAGACCUGUUCGUGCUGGACUGCUGGAGAUAAGGACCAGCGAUCAAAUGAUCCUUGAGCGGUAGCUAGUAGAUAAAGAAUAAGGGCUUGUUCGGUUAGCUCUCAAUACAUGUGGAUUGAGUGGGAUUGGAUGGAUUUUAAUCCCAAACAAGUCAAACUUUUUCUCAAUUUUUUCCAAUCCCAUCCAAUCCAUGUGUAUUGGGAAUAACCGAACAAGCCAUAAGAGAGAGUACGGUGGAGGAUUAGUCUAAAUAGAUAUUUUUCUAUUUUUCAUUGUUUUUUAUUUUCUUUCUUUUUUUACUGAAAAACAUAGAUAUUUUAGAUCCCGAAUUUUUUUAGCGAUGUAUACAGGGUAGACAGUAAUUGUGACACGAUUUUGAUUUGGUGAAUACUUUGUAAUUAGAUGAAUUUGCGUCCGUUAUUUAUAUCCAAAAUUUUGGAUCGGGGCGAGACGCAAUCAGAACAAUGUUAACAACAGUAUUUCAGACUGUGUUCCAAUUGAUUUGAAAUCAAAUAAUUUUAUCCGCAGUCAACACCCGGUUCCACGACAACAGAUAAUUUAUGUGGAGAAUCGAAUCUCAAUUAUAAAUUCUCAUACGCGAUUUCUCGGUUGACGAGUGGGGACAUAAUUAUUUGCACCGAAAACUUAGUCGUCGAGUUCUACUUAAUCUGUUCGGGAUAAAAUCAUCCGAGUGAGUCGGGCUUCCGAAUUCGUAUUCGCGCGAGCGAUGAAUUUUAAAUAAUCAUCGGACGCACCAAUUUUCAGAACAAAUAUGUUCCGAACAGCACGAAAAUUUAGGGAGAGCCCGGAAAGAUGAAAAUAAAAACGACUCGCACUCGCGACAGAUGGAACAAAUACGAUAUUUAAAAUCGCGAUAGGCGAAGAUGAUUAAAAUUUAGCACCUGUUUUAUCCACUGAUAUUACGUGUUUAAAUCCGUACUUGUUGUCGAGUGGAAUAUAAACACCAGGGGUGUUACAGCCCUCCCCCCUUAAAAGAAUCUCGUCCCGAGAUUCGAAACGAAAGACUUCUAAGAGUAGAGAAGUAUGUAACCCAUGUCCAUAUCAGCGGUAAUCAUAAGACAGUCUCAAGCGAAGACGAGUGUCUCAGAAUGUUGUUUCUCUAGUGGACAUAACAUGUAUCGCCUUAAGCUAAUUUAGAGAUGUCCAACAAUAGAGACGGUGUCUGCCCGAGGAACACAUAAGGUUUCAUGUGUGCAGUUUGUUUUUUCUGAUAGCAUUGUACUAUCUGAGUCUGUUGGGUAAGUGGUAAAUACGUGAUUUUACUCAAGCAGAAUCAGAUGCAAUCUCUUGGGUAAAACACAAAGAAAGAGGUUUACCAACAAGUGGUUAUAGUAAAUCCAUAGCACAGGAGAUGGGUGUGGAUGUCGAACAACAUCACAGUUAACUCAUGUUAGCCCGAAAAUCCAAGUUCAAGAAAAAUGAUAGAGACUCGAGAAAAUAUCAAUGAAGAGAUCCGUUGAUGUUGACUUCACGACCAACCCAUUUCAUUAAAUACUUAGCACGGCUCGACUUGAUCACACAUGCUGGAAAAGCACACAUGAGGCGAUCAAGGCGUGACUAGAAUGAUGAUUAGGGGUUACUGGCCGACUUAAUCUUGAUUCUUAUAAGUACCUUCUUAGGAUAGUUUGAACCAAAGUGGGUUUAGAUAACUCGACAAAACGAUCUCUAAACUCGACCUUUGUUCAUUGGGCAGUUACAGGUUAGUAAAACCAACUUUUGAACUACUUUUGACAUUGAGUAGGUCCUCUCAGUACCAUUGGUAAGCCAAGGGUUGAGAGUCCACAUUUUCUAGCAAAAGAUCAUGUAUUUGGAUAGAAAUCCAUUUGGUCAGGUUGUUCAUCCAUUUCUUCCUUGCGAGAUGAAUUGACUUGGUUCGGGAAUACAUGGAUUAAAUAAGAGAGUGAAUGAACAAACUCCUGCAUCUCAGCAGCAGGGGAAACAGAUCACCAUUUUGCGAGCUAAUCAGUUGUCUCUCGACACUAAAAAGCUCCAAGGCUUCACCUUUACACAAAGGACGUAAAGGGAACUUGUAUGUGUGUAGUCACCACCAAAGUAAAGGACAAGAGACCACACAUUAAAGGGAUAUGCUCUUUUGAUCCAACGGAGAUGAUAGAUGUUGCUUGAUCACUUGACAAACAACAUAGAAAUUGUUUCAAGGAAGUAGUUUACGGAAGAUAACACAUCAGUGUAGUUCCACAAUGUAUCAUGACCAGAGACCUUGAUACCAGCAUCCAACGAGUAGCACAGUCCUGUGUGCGCAUUCACAGGAGGCUCUUAGUUUCGCUGCGGCACCAUAAGUCAUUAACCAUGACACCAUUACCGAAUUGGCACCAAUAACAAUAUCACGUAGCAAAAAAAACAUAUUGUACCAAGAUAACGCAUUGACAUAGUCUCAUAAUGGAUUACAACUACUAACUGUGAUACCAGCGCGUGCCGAGUAGCACAACCAUGUGUGCGCACCCACAGAAGGCCCUCGGUUUCGUCACGGCACCAUCAGUUUUAGUCAUAGCACCAUUACCAGACAUAACCAAUAAGAAAUCUCGCGCGACACUAAUGGAUUAGGCAAGGGUGACAAUAUACAAAGAGACUCUACCUGUCAAAAGGGUUACAAGUAGAGAGUCAAAUAGAUCAUGACCCAAUGAAAUGAACAAGGCAUGGCCAUAACCUAAACUUGAUGAAAGGAGUAUGAUGGGAGACUGUUAAUUCAGCCCCAAACAUAUUUCUAUGCCCAUCAUAGGGAUUACAAGGUCAAGGAUUAGUAUCUGAUUAGAUACGGAGGGAAAACAAUCAUAAGAUGAAGUUGGUAUGCCUUCGAUAAUUAUGAUGAAACCAAAGGCAUCAAACUUAAGAAAAUGAUCGGACAUGUCUUUCCUAAGUUAGGUUGGUAAAACAACAUGGCGAUCUUCAAGAACAGGCAAACUAGAAUUAGGGAUAUCAGCUUGCGCCAAUCGAGCAAGGGCAUGGUUCUAGAAGGAGACAUGACUCGAGGUUCUUGUUUUAAGCUUGGGUACACUUUAUGUCCAAUAAGGAAAUAUCUACGCAUUUAUUUGCAUGGGCUUGGUCAUGGAGCGAUAAUGGUAAAUUCAAAUUUGGGUCUCGGUUCACCAACUAAGAACAUGGCCUAAUUCUAGAUUUAGGCAAACAAGUCACUAACCUUCUAUCGACACAUUAAGCACAAGAGCACACAUAUAGCAUCUAAACAUAAUACCUAAGGAACGGAGAACAACUAUUUUAUCGAAGUUCAUAAUACAACAUUACACCACAUUAUCUACAAUCACUGGUUACUGGAAUAAGGAUGAGAGAAGCAUUUUGGGUGUAUAGGUGACAAACAUGAUGCAACAAUCAGGAUGCAUGCUCGUCUUAUUCGUCCUCACUGAUUUUGCCAACAUAAUGUGGCGAUAGCGUUCUAUAUCGGUGGCAUACUUGCGACUCUCACGGUAUUUUGCUAGUCGUCAACUACACAUACGUUUUUGAGGUUAGUGUACCUGCAAAAAAUUCCAUUACAGCCCAGUUCCCAAUGAUGCAAGUCACACAUGACAGUGUAUCACAGUUUAUACUCCAUAUAUUGCUAUAUGGAGGCCAGCUCAUCAUUAAGCACCGAGCCACGCAUAGGCGCCGUUGCCACACUUUAACCAUAGGGCAACUCAUUAUGGUGACUCACCUUCUUACCUGAGCGUAGGUGCGUCGUUGCAAGUACAUUACACUUCUCAGUAUUCCCAUGUCUGUAUACCCAUACACAUCCAUGGGGUACUGAAUUCCCGGAAAAGUAAGUACUCCACAUCACAGCCUUCAUAUAUACAUAUGUGGAACAUGUAUACAAUCAAGCGCUACAAUUAAGCACUUCCCUAGACCGACAGUUGUUCGGUCAUGCUCUCACAUCUCACCAUACCUAAGCGUCGAUCCAUUCAAAACUGAAUGGCCUUAAAAAUAACAAUACACAUGUAUGCAAUACCCCCGGUUGUGGGUUAUGGUUUUGAACUAAGCCACCUGAUAGUCCUUAGUUUAGGGCUUAAUAGAGGAUGUUGCUAGCAUUAUAGUUUUUCAAAAAUAUUUUUCAAAGCCAAACAAUGUGUUUAGUUGAAAAUAGGUUUUUCAAAACCAAAAUUUUGUUUUAAAAAUAAGUAUGUGACCGUAUAUACUUAAUCAUGCUCCGAUAACAGCUGCGGCAGAACCUCCCAAGUUAUUGGGCCCACAUGCACCUGUCCUUGUCUCAAAGACCUCAGACAGCUAUGCGUGUGCACUAAAUAACUUAACAGGAUCCGUCCGAUUGCCCCAAGGACAUCGGAUAAACCACUUACAACCAGAACCGCGGGAUUAAGUAACACAAAUCACACACACCAAUAUUUUUGCAGCGGAAAUAUUAUUACCAAAUUUUACAAGUUACAAAAAAUUUACUUCGUACAUGAUCGGAGUGAUUACUACAGUGAUUCAAAGAAAGAAACUUUUAAUUGUUAUAAAUUAUUUAUAGUUUUGAAAUAUAUGCUAGCUCAAGUGACCAUCCUCAAUAAGAAGUAUAGAAGAGUUACUUAGACUUAUAAGAAGGCCGAGCCCACCGGCACUUAACACCAUCAACAGCAGCACAAAGUUAAAACCUAAAAAACAACAGGGAAUAAAACCCUGAGUAUGGAAUUACUCAGCAAGUCUUACCCGACUAAAGAAAAGACUCUCAAGGGUAUGCUGGAUUUGGGAAUCAAGGAGAGGCUUUUAGCAAGAAUCAACUUAGAUACUUUUGCAGAAAAAGCUUACUAAAGUGAGUCCUUACUUUCAAUGUUUUAAUGCCAGAUUAAAUAUUAAUAGACUCUGUUUGCACCUAGUCUAAUUUCACCAUUUCAUCAAUACAACAUCAUUUUUACUCAUAAUGUUUACAUCCUGACUUAGGUUGCAGGUCGGAGAUCUAGUCUCCACUCUCCGGGGAUAUAACGGUGAUCCGAAUCGAUUUACUCAGCUGAGGAUCUCUAACCACACGACAUAUGUAGCACUUAACCCUUGCAUAUGUCAACCGUUCCCACAGAUCCUCCACAACGUGAACCGGUCCGCGCUACCCGGGAGCACAGUACUCCUCCAUCCAGCCUCUAGCCAGGAGGGUACACGCUACUCCCACCAUCUCCCACGCCCAGUGCGCGGUUGUCUUUUCACGUAUGGAAUAGCCGGGUUCAAGCUUACCCUGUCCCAUUUUCAGGGCAUAUGGCUAGUUAAGAUAGUCCUUGAUCAACAGGCCUACAUACGCAUCCAAUCCUUAAUUAACCUGGGCGGAGCAUCACCUGUUCCUAGCCCAAGUCCCGAUUUAAGUACUUCCAUCCUUAGGAGUGUUUGUGUUCCUUAGGAUGAAAAGAGCAUUAUAGGGAACUUUACAGUAAGAUCCCAUCAUGCUCCCAAUGAAAAUAUUCUUGCAGGUAGAAAUCAUCCUUCCUCAGGAUAAACC
rnacentral:lncRNA from 1 species